rnacentral:sRNA from 1 species
UCGAGCGAACCUUUAAAAGCUUGCUUUUAAAGGUUAGCCGCGGACGGGUGAGUAACACGUGGGCAACCUGCCUAUAAGACUGGGAUAACUUCGGGAAACCGGAGCUAAUACCGGAUCAUUCUUUUCUAUACAUGUAGGAAAGCUGAAAGACGGUUUACGCUGUCACUUAUAGAUGGGCCCGCGGCGCAUUAGCUAGUUGGUGAGGUAACGGCUCACCAAGGCGACGAUGCGUAGCCGACCUGAGAGGGUGAUCGGCCACACUGGGACUGAUACACGGCCCAGACUCCUACGGGAGGCAGCAGUGGG